rnacentral:rRNA from 1 species
AAACUUUCAACAACGGAUCUCUUGGUUCUGGCAUCGAUGAAGAACGCAGCGAAAUGCGAUAAGUAAUGUGAAUUGCAGACUUCAGUGAAUCAUCGAAUCUUUGGACGCACAUUGCGCCCGCCAGCAUUCUGGCGGGCAUGCCUGUCCGAGCGUCAUUU